AUACGGAGGGUGCAAGCGUUGUUCGGAAUUAUUGGGCGUAAAGAGCAUGUAGGCGGACUGUUAAGUCUGGUGUGAAAGCCCGGGGCUCAACCCCGGAAGUGCAUUGGAUACUGGCAGUCUUGAGUAUGGGAGAGGAAAGCGGAAUUCCGAGUGUAGGAGUGAAAUCCGUAGAUAUUCGGAGGAACACCAGUGGCGAAGGCGGCUUUCUGGACCAAUACUGACGCUGAGAUGCGAAAGCGUGGGGAGCGAACAGGAUUAGAAACCCUAGUAGUCC
rnacentral:rRNA from 1 species